GUGACCUACGGGGGGCAGCAGUGGGGAAUAUUGCGCAAUGGGGGCAACCCUGACGCAGCAACGCCGCGUGAUUGAAGAAGGCCUUCGGGUUGUAAAGAUCUUUAAUCGGGGACGAAUUUUGACGGUACCCGAAGAAUAAGCUCCGGCUAACUACGUGCCAGCAGACGCGGUAAUACGUAGGGAGCAAGCGUUAUCCGGAUUUACUGGGUGUAAAGGGCGUGUAUGCGGGCAUGCAAGCCAGAAGUGACAUCUGGGGGCUUAAGCCUCAAACUGCUUUUGGUACUGC
rnacentral:rRNA from 1 species